rnacentral:misc_RNA from 1 species
GAUGAAGAAAGUAGCGAAAUGCGAUAAGUUAUGCGAAUUGCAGAAUCCGUGAGUCAUCGAAUCUUUGAACGCACAUUGCGCCCUUUGGUAUUCCGAAGGGCAUGCCUGUUCGAGCGUCAUUAUCACCACUCAAGCCCGGCUUGCUGUUGGUGGCAGCGCAGCCGGUCAACCGGCUACGCUCCACCCAAAGAUAAUGACGGCGUCUGCGAGGACUCCUGUACAUUGAGCUUUCGGGCACGUACAUGGCUAGAAGUCCAGGCGCAGGUCGACGUCCUCCGGGACACUUUUUACCAAGGUUGACCUCGGAUCAGGUAGGGAUACCCGCUGAACUUAAGCAUAUCAAUAAGCGGAGGA